rnacentral:rRNA from 1 species
ACUCAAAUGAAUUGACGGGGGCCCGCACAAGCAGCGGAGCGUGUGGUUUAAUUCGAUGCAACGCGAAGAACCUUACCUGGGCUUGACAUGCACGUGGUACUGACCUGAAAGGGAAGGGACCCGCAAGGGAGCGUGCACAGAUGCUGCAUGGCUGUCGUCAGCUCGUGCCGUGAGGUGUUGGGUUAAGUCCCGCAACGAGCGCAACCCUCGCCGUCAGUUACCGUUUCUGGCGGGACCGCCGGUCUACACCGGAGGAAGGUGGGGAUGACGUCAAGUCAGCACGGCUCUUACGUCCAGGGCGACACACACGCUACAAUGGCCGGUACAACGGGCAGCAAAGGGGCGACCCGGAGCGAAUCCCACCAAAGCCGGCCCCAGUUCGGAUUGCAGGCUGCAACCCGCCUGCAUGAAGUCGGAGUUGCUAGUAACCGCGGGUCAGCACACCGCGGUGAAUACGUUCCCGGGCCUUGCACACACCGCCCGU